GCUCAGGAUGAACGCUGGCGGCGUGCCUAAUACAUGCAAGUCGAGCGAAUGGAUUGAGAGCUUGCUCUNAUGAAGUUAGCGGCGGACGGGUGAGUAACACGUGGGUAACCUGCCCAUAAGACUGGGAUAACUCCGGGAAACCGGGGCUAAUACCGGAUAACAUUUUGAACUGCAUGGUUCGAAAUUGAAAGGCGGCUUCGGCUGUCACUUAUGGAUGGACCCGCGUCGCAUUAGCUAGUUGGUGAGGUAACGGCUCACCAAGGCAACGAUGCGUAGCCGACCUGAGAGGGUGAUCGGCCACACUGGGACUGAGACACGGCCCAGACUCCUACGGGAGGCAGCAGUAGGGAAUCUUCCGCAAUGGACGAAAGUCUGACGGAGCAACGCCGCGUGAGUGAUGAAGGCUUUCGGGUCGUAAAACUCUGUUGUUAGGGAAGAACAAGUGCUAGUUGAAUAAGCUGGCACCUUGACGGUACCUAACCAGAAAGCCAC
rnacentral:rRNA from 1 species